CAAAGCAGGUGCCAGCAGCAACAAUGUAGCAACGUCACAACAAACGAACAACCAAACGUUCUAAACGCUUUCCAGGUUUGACAGCGUCUAUAAGGCAUUGCCUCGUGGUCAUAAUGAUGCCAAUGAGCAUUAACAGAAGCAGCAGGAAGAUUGCCAGGAUGUAGCCCACUUGGUGCAAUAGGCCUGGCAGGCGAGAGGGGAGAGGGACAAGGUUUCAUGUCAGAAUGGCCAAAACAGGCGUAAUGAGUUCCAGACCUGAUGUCAUGCCGCAGCAAUGGAGAAAAAAAACACAAACCACAAGAACGGGAAGCGAUAGUGCAGGCGGAGAGAAAUACCACCACUUCAUGGUCAGUCUGUCUGGAGACAUUUUCCACUUAUUUAGUGCCCCACAAUAAAAUUGAGAAUUUAGAUUUAAUCUGCUAAAUCUUCAGGGAUCGCAUGUCAGUAGUGUUUAUACGACCAAAUAAACCAAACAAACUCACUGAAUGCUGCUGUUUGUGUGUUUUACAGUAUUGUAAAUCUUGUUCUUGGCUUAACAACACAAAAAAUGACUUCUUCAUCCUAAAACUAACAGACAUUAUGAUUACUUUGAGUCAUUAUGUCUCAUCAUCGCAAUGAACAAUGAAGAAUCAAAU